AUUGAACGCUGGCGGCAGGCCUAACACAUGCAAGUCGAGCGGAUGCAGGGAGCUUGCUCCUGGAUUCAGCGGCGGACGGGUGAGUAAUGCCUAGGAAUCUGCCUGGUCGUGGGGGAUAACGUCCGGAAACGGGCGCUAAUACCGCAUACGUCCUGAGGGUGAAAGUGGGGGAUCUUCGGACCUCACGCUAUCAGAUGAGCCUAGGUCGGAUUAGCUAGUUGGUGGGGUAAAGGCCUACCAAGGCGACGAUCCGUAACUGGUCUGAGAGGAUGAUCAGUCACACUGGAAUUGAGACACGGUCCAGACUCCAAGGGGAGGCAGCAGUGGGAAAUAUUGGACAAUGGGCGAAAGCCUGACCCAGCCAUGCGGCGUGUGUGAAGAAGGCCUUCGGAUUGUAAAGGACUUUAAGUGGGGAGAAAAGGCAGUAAGUUAAUACCUUGCUGUUUUGACGUUACCAACAGAAUAAGCACCGGCUAACUUCGU
rnacentral:rRNA from 1 species